UUAUGUCAUGGCCCCACGGUUGCUGCUCUUGCACCAACGUUUGGACGUGGUGCGAUGAC
rnacentral:ncRNA from 1 species